rnacentral:rRNA from 1 species
UGGGGAAUAUUGGGCAAUGGGCGCAAGCCUGACCCAGCGACGCCGCGUGGGCGAUGAAGGCCUUCGGGUUGUAAAGCCCUGUCAUGUGGACAGAACAGUUCCGCGGUUAAUACCCGCGGAAUUUGACGGUACCACAGGAGGAAGCACCGGCUAACUCCGUGCCAGCAGCCGCGGUAAUACGGAGGGUGCGAGCGUUGUUCGGAAUUAUUGGGCGUAAAGGGCGCGUAGGCGGUUGUGAAAGUCAGAUGUGAAAUACUUCGGCUCAACUGAAGAACUGCAUCUGAAACUUCAUAACUUGAGUACAGGAGAGGGAAACGGAAUUCCCGGUGUAGAGGUGAAAUUCGUAGAUAUCGGGAGGAACACCAGUGGCGAAGGCGGUUUCCUUGCCUGAUACUGACGCUGAGGAGCGAAAGCGUGGGGAGCAAACA